GGGUUCCUAGUUGCGGAAGAAGGGCUUCGGGUGGUCAACUGCUUUUGUACGGAACGAAACGGUCCUGUCUAAUACCGGGGGCUAAUGACGGUACCGUAAGAAUAAGCACCGGCUAACUACGUGCCAGCAGCCGCGGUAAUACGUAGGGUGCAAGCGUUAAUCGGAAUUACUGGGCGUAAAGCGUGCGCAGGCGGUUAUGUAAGACAGGUGUGAAAUCCCCGGGCUCAACCUGGGAAUGGCGUUUGUGACUGUAUAGCUGGAGUGCGGCAGAGGGGGAUGGAAUUCCGCGUGUAGCAGUGAAAUGCGUAGAUAUGCGGAGGAACACCGAUGGCGAAGGCAAUCCCCUGGGCCUGCACUGACGCUCAUGCACGAAAGCGUGGGGAGCAAACAGGAUUAGAUACCCUGGUAGUCCACGCCCUAAACGAUGUCAACUGGUUGUUGGGUCUCUACUGACUCAGUAACGAAGCUAACGCGUGAAGUUGACCGCCUGGGGAGUACGGCCGCAAGGUUGAAACUCAAA
rnacentral:rRNA from 1 species